rnacentral:rRNA from 1 species
UUAGCCCUAAACAUAAAUACUCAACCAACAAGACCAUUCGCCAGAGUACUACUAGCAACAGCUUAAAACUCAAAGGACUUGGCGGUGCUUUACAUCCCU